GCUAGCGAUUAGCGGUUAAAUAGCGGUUAGCACGUAGACAUGGUAUUAACAUAUGGGCCAGAGCAAGGCACAAUCAAAAUUGCUUUAGGAAUUUUCUAGUUAUAAUAUUUUAUUCUUCCGUACGUUUUUCGGCGCGCUUCUUCUCCCGGAGCUUUUGUCGCACAUACACAAAAAAGGUAUCAAAACGUGCGGCUCGGCCGGGAAUCGAGUGCUAUGACUUUUCUAAGAAUUUCGCCAAACGGUUUGCCGGUAAAUCGCCAAAAACCGGUCCAAAAAAUGAAUGGGUGUGUAUUGCGAGAACCUCCAACCGAAAAAAACUGCCAGAGUGCGUGACAUCAUCGCUAGAGUGUGGGGAGAGAGAAAAAUUUGUCGAAAAAUAAAUUUGUAAACUGCUGUCAUGGCCACAAAUUUCACUCUACAGAAAUAAUUUAUAGAUAGAAACGUAGGUAAAUCCGUUGGGGUCGCAGUGAUACUACUGCUGAAGCUGUCAGACAAAUAGUUUUGGCGGGAGACGCACUGAUGCGCCAGCAACGCCCUCUCACGGCCCCAUCUACUCCCAUGUUAAAAUGGAGAGGAGGAUUCUUGAAACACGCUCGUUGAACCUCUUCUCUCUCAAUCUCCCCAGGUCACAUUUUUUAACUUUAGCCACUGAAACUCGGCAGUGCUAUAGUCAACAAGAUGACGACGCUCACGGUCUUUUCGGUUUUCAUUUCGGUCGUUCCUGGCCAUGCUUUUGAGGGGAUUCAUUUUAAAUGUUUUCUGUCUCUCUGAGGAGUUAGAGACAGAGAGAGAGCGUGCGCAGCUGCUGUGGGCUCCCCUGAUUGCCAU